AGUGGGACCCGACCCUGUCUCCAGUGGGCGUCUUGGGCCCCGGCUCUAUUCUGGGCUGCGGGCCUGGGAAGGGCUCGCCGGGUGCCAAAUGAGCUGUCCUAACUCUGCGGGGCUGCAGCUUCCUGCAUGAUGCUGGGGAGCUUGGCGCCUGACCCAGGAUCUAGAAGGCACUCUGGGCAGGCCGCGCUCCGCCCACGAAGGUACCCAACCCUCUGGGAUAGAUGCAGGAAGCGAUGGUUAAGACCCAUUUUCACCCAACUUCUCGCCGCAGGUCUGGCUUACCACACGCUCCUCCCCAUUCCCAGUGAGCCGCUUUUUGCAGCACCAGGCGAACACUUACACCAGUGCUUUGUAAAGGAAUCUUAUUGUCCACCCCGUGUCUUGGCAAAAGAACAGUGAUCACACAGAUUCCUACUUGGGCUCUUUCCUUUAAUCUUCGGAGGCUGAGUUUGCCCAACUCAGCUCAAGCUAAGCUAUUGCUCACCGUCACAGGCUAGCCGCUGACUUCCACCCCUCUGGAUCCAGCAGGGUGUCUGCUGCACUUCUGAUCCAGUGAGACGCCCAUUGCCACUCCCAACUGGGCUAGAGGCUCGCCAUUGUUCCUGCACGGCUAAGUGCCCAGAUAAACUGCCAGGGAGAAGAAUGAGAAGACAGGAGACAAACUGUUUGGAAAGCUAAAUCUUCCCUCUUAAUGAAUAAAGGUUUUUGCCUUGUC
rnacentral:lncRNA from 1 species